rnacentral:lncRNA from 1 species
AGAAUCCAGACAUGACCAUCUUUGCCUUGUAUAAUCAUCAUACCCUUCAGUAGGUAUGUCCAGAAUCUCACCCAGUUUGAAUGCAUCAAGCUUUACUUUCACUCCUUUCACCAGGCUGGUGACUACUCCAUCCUUCAUAGCAGCAUUUGCCAUAACUUCAAUCAGCUCAUUCCUGGCCAGCCUCCCAUCCAUUUCAAGGACCAUGUCCUUCCAACUUUGUGCAGCUAAAGCAUCCACUAGUCUUAUCAUCCCUG